AUCUUUACUGACUCAAAGUAUGCUUUUAGGGUAUUGCAUGCUCACGCUGGUCUGUGGAAGCAAAGGGGAAUGCUAACAGCCCAAGGUUCUCCGGUUAAGCAUGGGUCUCAAAUUCUCCGGCUAUUAGAAGCGGUACAACUCCCCUCAGCAGUAGCAAGGUGUCAGGGCUGUAUCCCCACUUUGAACUUUAGGGUACAAAUGUGGGGGCCUGCAUGAAAACUUCUAAGCUUAACUACCAGCUUAGCUCUGGUCCGCUGCCACCAUUUCCAAUGGAUUCCCUCCCUGGGAAGCCUUGAAAAACCUUCACCAAUUCCCUGGUGAAUACAGUUCCAAACCCCUUGGAUCUUAAAACAAGGAGAAAUUAACCAUCCCCCCUCCUUCCUCCCACCAACUCCUGGUGAAUACAGAUCCAACCCCCUUGGAUCUAAAACAAGGAGAAAUUAACCAUUCCCCUUCCUUCCUUUCACCAACUCCUGGUGAAUACAGAUCCAAACCCCUUGGAUCUUAAAACAAGGAGAAAUUAACCAUUCCCCCUCCUUCCUUUCACCAACUCCUGGUGAAUACAGAUCCAAACCCCUUGGAUCUUAAAACAAGGAGAAAUUAACCAUUCCCCCUCCUUCCUUUCACCAACUCCUGGUGAAUCAAGAUCCAAACCCCUUGGAUCUUAAAACAAGGAAAAAUCAAUCAGGUUCUUAAAAAGAAGGCUUUUAAUUAAAGAAAAAGGUAAAAAUCAUCUCUGUAAAAUCAGUAUGGAAAGUAACCUUACAGGGUAAUCAAACUUAAAGAGCUCAGAGGACUCCCCUCUAGUCUUAGGUUCAAAGUACAGCAAACAAAGAUAAACACUCUAGUAAAAGGUACAUUUACAAGUUGAGAAAACAAAGGAAAACUAACAUGCCUUGCCUGGCUAUUUACUUACAAGUUUGAAAUAGGAGAGACUUGUUUAGAAAGAUGUGGAGAACCUGGAUUGAUGUCUGGUCCCUCUCAGUCCCGAGAGCGAACGACCUCCCCAAACAAAGAGCACAAACAAAAGCCUUCCCCCCCCCCAAGAUUUGAAAGUAUCUUGUCCCCUUAUUGGUCCUUUGGUCAGAUGCCAGCCAGGUUACCUGAGCUUCUUAACCCUUUACAGGGCAAAGGAUUUUGGAGUCUCUGUCCAGGAGGGAUUUUAUAGUACUGUACACAGGACAGCUGUUACCCUUCCCUUUAUAGUUAUGACACAAGGGCAAUGCCAGAGCAGACAGGGAAGCCAAGCGUGCUGCUACCCUGAAAUCACCAACAGAGGAGAAUGUCCAAAUGCAUGCCCUCAUCCCAUCAGUAGGUGAGCUUGCAGCCCCUCAGUACUCCCAUGAGGACAGAAACCUGGCUGACAGUCUCAAUCUCCAGGAAAAGGAGGAAUGGCUUUAUUCCACAGAGGGAAAAAUCCUCCUGCCCAAGGGCCUAAUCCGACCAGUGUUGCAGAAACUGCAUCAGACCACACACGCAGGCAGAGAGGCUCUUACCCAGCUUAUGAAUAAAUAUUUUCUAACCUCUAGACUUAAACCCUUAGCAUCACAGGUACAGGAUGAAUGUUUAAUCUGCCAAAAGAACAACCCUCGACCAGGAGUAGCAGUGUUACCAGCCACCCUGUAACCUACCCCAGGCCCAGGAUUGGUGUGGCAAAUAGACUUUACUGAGUUUCCCAGGACCCAAGGGUACAGGUACCUCCUUAUCUUGGUGGAUCGAUUCAGUGGAUGGCCUGAGGCCUUCCCAUGUCGUAACAACACUGCCAAGACAGUGGCUCUUAAGUCACCUUCAGCCCCCAACUAAAACCUCUCCAGCGCAUCAUCAGAGAUCUACAACCUAUCCUGAAAGAUGAUCCUUUACUCUCACAGAUCUUGGGAGACAGACCUGUCCUCGCUUUCAGACAACCCCCCAACCUAAAGCAAAUACUCACCAGCAACCACACAUCACUGAACAAAACCACUAACCCAGGAACCUAUCCUUGUAACAAACCCCGAUGCCAACUCUGUCCACAUAUCUAUUCAAGUGACAUCAUCAUAGGACCUAAUCACAUCAGCCAUACCAUCAGGGGCUCGUUCACCUGCACAUCUACCAAUGUGAUAUAUGCCAUCAUGUGCCAGCAAUGCCCCUCUGCCAUGUACAUUGGCCAAACCGGACAGUCUCUACGCAAAAGAAUUAAUGGACACAAAUCUGACAUCAGGAAUCAAAAUACUCAAAAACCAGUGGGAGAACACUUUAACCUGUCUGGUCAUUCAGUGACAGACCUGCGGGUGGCUAUAUUACAACAGAAAAACUUCAAAAACAGACUCCAACGAGAGACUGCUGAGCUGGAAUUGAUAUGCAAACUAGACACAAUCAACUCCGGUUUGAAUAAGGACUGGGAAUGGCUGAGCCAUUACAAACAUUGAAUCUAUCUCCCCUUACUAACACGGCUGCUACUCUGAAACCUGCUCUUAAGUUUGUUAAGAAGAUCAUUCCUCGCUUCGGCCUCCCCCAGCGGAUGGAAUUUGAUAAUGGAACACACUUCACAUCUCAAGUUGUUCAAAAGAUAUCAAGUGCUCUGCAAAUCCCCUGGAAGCUCCACACACCAUGGCGACCACAAGCCAGUGGAGUAGUGGAACCACAAAUCAGACACUCAAGCGACACCUCUCAAAGGUCUGUCAGGAGGCCUCUCUUAGGUGGCCUGAUGCUUUGCCCCUUGUGUUACUCCGCAUUCAUGCUCUCCCCAAGGGUAGGUUAGGGCUUAGUCCCUUCGAGACUAUGUUUGGAAGGGCAUGGCCUCUGAAUGGUACACCGGUUCUGGCAGGGGAGUGGGAGAUGGGGUGUGGUUUCUUGUCUUAGUACAUGUGCUCUCUGUCUGCUGUUCUUUCUUCUCUUCACAGAUACACCAAAGAUUCACAGCCACUUCUGCUGGAUACCCCGAUCCACUCCCUGCAGCCUGGUGACUCCGUUCUCGUGCGGACCUGGAAGGAUGAGCCUCUCCAAGAGAAGUGAAAAGGACCCCACAUCGUCCUGCUUGUUUCCCACACAGCGGCAAAGGUCGAAGGACACAAGAACUGGUUUCAUCACUCUCGACUGAAAGCAGUACCCGCUCCUGAACAGUGGACUGUCCAGCCUGCUGAGAAGACUGCUAACGACGAUUUGGGACUUAAGCUGUUAUUCAAAAGACAGUAAGGGUCACUGGGAAUGCCUGGUGAUCUCUCUGAACAGCCACAGCGCAUUCUCCGCGAGAACCCUGAGCAUUGGUUUUAUCUAUUCACAGUAGGCCGACCUAACCUCUGGUCCUGGUCCUUUUAUUUUUUGAUUUGUUUAAUAUCAAUACUUCUUAUCCGCUGGGCAUUUGGGUUGUUGUAAUCUCAAUAUGGGUUCAGGUUUAGGGUUUCUCACAACAUUCCUUUUUGUCACAGAAGCACUCCUUCAGUUACCUAAUGUUUCAUUCACAUCGCAUGCAGGAUGGGGAGCCAUCCCUGCAGAUAUGGCUACCAAUACCUAUGAGUCCCUGAAAAUUUCCUUUGCCUGUGAGUUCAAUCUCUCCAACUGUUGGAUAUGUGCUCAGACUCCCCACCAUUCAGCGGGAUUGCCCUGGAGAGUAGUUUCCCAAAAUUGGUCAGACUAUUGUCAAAGGUGGAUGGUUACAGCAGUAGCACCUCUGACAAUUUGAGUUUGCGAUCUAACUGUACUGCGGAAGCUCCUUAUGGCCUACACAAUGGCUCUUGGAAUUCCCACUAUAGUAGCACUCUUAAGCCCCAGCCGAUUCAUUUACGUUCUCCACCCGCUGGUCUCAUAUGUUAUUAGCAAGCCAGUACAAGUAAGCAUACCUGGUUUGCAAGCAUUAGUAAGUGUAGAUUUUAUAUUCGUCAUGGUAUAAGUCUCACUGUUCCUUUACUAAAUGCCACCGGUUGGCAAACCGGCACUGCAUUCUUUGCCCUUUCCCCACAAGCCACCCUACAGAACUUACAAGGUAACAAUGGAAAGGCUAGUUAUGGUAAAGCAUUCUGGGUUUGUGGUAAUAGAGCCUAUAAAUGGCUCCCUCAUGGUUGGCAUGGUAGCUGUUACAAAGGCUAUCUUGCUCCUCCCCUCCGUGUUCUCACCAAGGUUCCCUCAGGUCACCCUUGGUACUAUCGGUCCCUGAGAGCUACCAUUGAACCCAUUGGUAAAGGAGACAGGUUUGGGAUGAUAUCCCUCCCUUCCUAUGGGGUGGGAUGGCUAACCCAACUCUACAGAAGACUGUCUAAAUUUCUCACUCAGUUUGCCAAUGAUACCCUGGCCAUAGAGAAACGGAUAAGUGCUAAGCUGUACCAGCUUCGACUGCUGGCUUUGCAGAACCGCCAGGCCCUAGAUUAUGUGUUAGCUUCACGGGGUGGAGUAUGUGCCCUUAUUGGAGAAGAAUGUUGUACCUAUGUCCCGGAGUUUUCACAGAAUAUUAACAAGCAUAUCUUGUCAGCCGAACAGGCCUUGAACCAGUGGAAGGCCCAGGAAGGGGAACCCACUAUUUUGGAUUCCCUUUGGGGUUGGAUACCUGGUUUAGGGGAACUAGGGGGACUAGGGGGAAGCAUUGUUCGCAUCUUGCUCACAGGUGUGGUGAGAUGUUUUGUCCUUUUCCUUUUGCUCGUUUGCUGUAAAGUGCUCAUAUGUAAGAUUUGUACCUCCCAUUCCCCAAAAGUUCCCUUAUACCCUUUCAUUGAUAAUCCUGAUUGCAUGGAGCUUAAUCGCAUUUUGUCUUUAGAGUAUGAGAAAACUCUGACAAAGGUUUGUUGAGUGUUCUCAAAGGAGGGAUUGUUGGUGUCACUAGGCAUAGCUACCAGGUAACUCGGGAAAGUGGAAGGCCAAAAGUGCCAAUGAAGCUCUUCUGCUCUGGGCCUACCUGAACCACAGAACUCCAUCUUGUGAACUCUCACCUACUUCCAUGCUAAUUGCCUUGAUGCUGAAGCAGAAUAUGUAAUAGUCAGCUUUUCUAGCAGACAGCUGCUGUUUUGCUCACUCACAAACGCUGUAGUGAUAAGACGAGGGAAGACUGCUGUAAACAGGCCUUGCAAGGCCAAAAGAUAAGCAUGUGACUGGGAAAGUUUCUAACACGCACACUGUGUACCUGCUGUAACUGUUGUCUGGAAGGGAGGGGUAAGGGUGAAAUAGACAAAGGCUUGCACAGAAACUGCUUGGAAUAUAAAAGGGAAAAUUUGUUUGUAUUUGUUGCACUUGAUUUGAGACAUGCUGGUCUCCUAGUGCCUUUUCAGAGCUCUGAAAUAAACUUGGCUUGCUUUCUC